GGGGAUUUAGCUCAGUGGUAGAGCGCUUGCCUAGCAAGCGAAAGGCCCUGGGUUCGGUCCCCAGCUCCU
rfam:Rattus norvegicus chromosome 5, whole genome shotgun sequence.